rnacentral:rRNA from 1 species
GGCUCAGAUUGAACGCUGGCGGCAUGCCUUACACAUGCAAGUCGAACGGCAGCGGGCCUUCGGGUGCCGGCGAGUGGCGAACGGGUGGGUAAUGCAUCGGAACGUGCCAUUGAGUGGGGGAUAACGUAGCGAAAGUUGCGCUAAUACCGCAUAUUCUGUGAGCAGGAAAGCAGGGGACCGCAAGGCCUUGCGCUCUUUGAGCGGCCGAUGUCAGAUUAGCUAGUUGGUGAGGUAAAGGCCUACCAAGCCUUCGAUCUGUAGCUGGUCUGAGAGGACGACCAGCCACACUGGAACUGAGACACGGUCCAGACUCCUACGGGAGGCAGCAGUGGGGAAUUUUGGACAAUGGGCGCAAGCCUGAUCCAGCAAUGCCGCGUGCAGGAUGAAGGCCUUCGGGUUGUAAACUGCUUUUGUACGGAACGAAACGGCUCUUUCUAAUAAAGGGAGCUAAUGACGGUACCGUAAGAAUAAGCACCGGCUAACUACGUG